GGAAUUGGAUCUGGGCUAGGACGAACGCUGGCGGCGUGCCUAAUACAUGCAAGUCGAACGCAUUUUCUUUCACCGUAGCUUGCUACACCGAAAGAAAAUGAGUGGCGAACGGGUGAGUAACACGUGGGUAACCUGCCCAUCAGCGGGGGAUAACACUUGGAAACAGGUGCUAAUACCGCAUAAUUUCAUUUACCGCAUGGUAGAUGGAUGAAAGGCGCUUUUGCGUCACUGAUGGAUGGACCCGCGGUGCAUUAGCUAGUUGGUGGGGUAACGGCCUACCAAGGCUGCGAUGCAUAGCCGACCUGAGAGGGUGAUCGGCCACACUGGGACUGAGACACGGCCCAGACUCCUACGGGAGGCAGCAGUAGGGAAUCUUCGGCAAUGGACGCAAGUCUGACCGAGCAACGCCGCGUGAGUGAAGAAGGUUUUCGGAUCGUAAAACUCUGUUGUUAGAGAAGAACAAGGAUGAGAGUGGAAAGUUCAUCCCUUGACGGUAUCUAACCAGAAAGCCACGGCUAACUACGUGCCAGCCGCCGCGGUAAUUCGUCGUGACUGGGAACCCCCCUGGCG
rnacentral:rRNA from 1 species